rnacentral:tRNA from 1 species
GCCCGGGUGGCGAAAUGGUAGACGCGCAGUCUUGAGGUGGCUGUGAAGCAAUUCAUGGAGGUUCAAGUCCUCUCCCGGGCACCA